AGUGAACGCUGGCGGUAGGCCUAACACAUGCAAGUCGAACGGCAGCACAGGAGAGCUUGCUCUCUGGGUGGCGAGUGGCGGACGGGUGAGGAAUACAUCGGAAUCUACUCUUUCGUGGGGGAUAACGUAGGGAAACUUACGCUAAUACCGCAUACGACCUACGGGUGAAAGCAGGGGACCUUCGGGCCUUGCGCGAUUGAAUGAGCCGAUGUAGGAUUAGCUAGUUGGCGGGGUAAAGGCCCACCAAGGCGACGAUCCGUAGCUGGUCUGAGAGGAUGAUCAGCCACACGGGAACUGAGACACGGUCCAGAGCCCUACGGGAGGCAGCAGUGGGGAAUAUUGGACAAUGGGCGCAAGCCUGAUCCAGCCAUACCGCGUGGGUGAAGAAGGCCUUCGGGUUGUAAAGCCCUUUUGUUGGGAAAGAAAUCCAGCUGGCUAAUACCCGGUUGGGAUGACGGUACCCAAAGAAUAAGCACCGGCUAACUUCGUGCCAGCAGCCGCCGUAA
rnacentral:rRNA from 1 species